rnacentral:tRNA from 1 species
GGUGCCUAGUUGGUCAAGCACAAGUUUUUUCAAUCUUGUGGUCAUGGGUUCGAAGCCCAUAGGUGCCC